rnacentral:rRNA from 1 species
AGGGCACCACCAGGAGUGGAGCCUGCGGCUUAAUUUGACUCAACGCGGGAAAACUCACCCGGCCCGGACACCGUAAGGAUUGACAGACUGAGAGCUCUUUCUUAAUUCGGUGGGUGGUGGUGCAUGGCCGUUCUUAGUUGGUGGAGCGAUUUGUCUGGUUAAUUCCGAUAACGAACGAGACUCUGGCCUAUUAAAUAGACGAUAUAUUUAAAAGUAUAUCGCACUUCUUAGAGGGACAAGCGGCGUCUAGCCGCAUGAAAUAGAGCAAUAACAGGUCUGUGAUGCCCUUAGAUGUCCGGGGCUGCACGCGCGCUACACUGAAAGAAUCAGCGUGCGAUACGCCUGGUUCGGAAGAACCGGGUAACCCCAGCAAAUUCUUUCGUGCUUGGGAUAGGGAAUUGCAAUUAUUUCCCUUAAACGAGGAAUUCCCAGUAAAUGCGGGUCAUAAGCUCGCGUUGAUUACGUCCCUGCCCUUUGUACACACCGCCCGUCGCUACUACCGAUUGGAUGACUUAUUGA